ACGUGAAACCGUUCGGGGGUAAACGUGAGAAACCCGAAAAUUUUUCAACCGUAGAGAUUCAAGCCUUAUCCGCGCCUCCCCUGCCUUCCAGGCCAGAUGGGUCCGACCCCCCGCACGGAGCAAUCCGGCGUCGGGUGUGGCAACGGGCAACCACUCGGCUUACUGGCGGUGGCGAGGUCGGUGGGCCGCACUUCUCUGCCUGUUGAACGUCGCGACCCGUUGGGUGUCGGUCUAAGGCCCAGGUGCGUAGCUCUGUCCGUCCGCGUCGCAAGGCGCGUUCGUCGGGCAGAACCCCUGACGUCCCGGCCGACCGCCCGACGGUAUGUAAGUACGGAGAUGAUUCGCCGACCGCGUCCGGCCCCUGGCAAGCGCGUGCGCGUGUUGUUGGAUGACGGACCUCUGGCCCGGCUCUGACCCCGCACCGCUGUUGGCUUCCGGGAUGUGCCCCGGACGGAAGAAUCUCCCGUCAGCGGCGCAUGAGCUUCGGGUAAUUUCACGACCCGUCUUGAAGCACGGACCAAGGAGUCUAACAUGUGCGCGAGUCAUUGGGUUCAAGUCUAAACCUAAAGGCGCAAUGAAAGUGAAGGUCUGCCUCGUGCGGACCGAGGGAAGAUGGGGCUCGCUCUCGGGCAGCCUCCGCAUUCCCGGGGCGUCUCGUUCUCAUUGCGAGUUGAGGCGCACCCAGAGCGUACACGUUGGGACCCGAAAGAUGGUGAACUAUGCCUGGCCAGGACGAAGUCAGGGGAAACCCUGAUGGAGGUCCGUAGCGAUUCUGACGUGCAAAUCGAUCGUCGGAGCUGGGUAUAGGGGCGAAAGACUAAUCGAACCAUCUAGUAGCUGGUUCCCUCCGAAGUUUCCCUCAGGAUAGCUGGUGCUCGAUGUCAAGUCUCAUCCGGUCAAGCGAAUGAUUAGAGGCCUUGGGGCCGAAACGACCUCAACCUAUUCUCAAACUUUAAAUGGGUGAGAUCUCCGGCUUGCUUGACUGAAGCCGCGAGAUGUCUUUUGGAUGCGAGUGCCAAGUGGGCCACUUUUGGUAAGCAGAACUGGCGCUGUGGGAUGAACCAAACGCAGAGUUAAGGCGCCCGAAUAGACGCUCAUGGGAAACCAUGAAAGGCGUUGGUUGCUUAAGACAGCAGGACGGUGGCCAUGGAAGUCGGAAUCCGCUAAGGAGUGUGUAACAACUCACCUGCCGAAGCAACUAGCCCUGAAAAUGGAUGGCGCUGAAGCGUCUUGCCUAUACUCUGCCGUCAGCCCGGCAAUGAGGGGCGCGCGCUCUCACUUCGGUGGGGCCCGCCCCGUGAGGCCCUGACGAGUAGGAGGGUCGCGGCGGUGAGCGCAGAAGGGUCUGGGCGUAAGCCUGCCUGGAGCCGCCGUCGGUGCAGAUCUUGGUGGUAGUAGCAAAUACUCCAGCGAGGCCCUGGAGGACUGACGUGGAGAAGGGUUUCGUGUGAACAGCCGUUGCACACGAGUCAGUCGAUCCUAAGCCCUAGGAGAAAUCCGAUGUUGAUGGGGUCCGAAAAAAUCUCUUCUUAAGCUGGAUUGGACCCCAUGGGGCGAAAGGGAAUCCGGUUCCUAUUCCGGAACCCGGCAGCGGAACCGUAACCAGUCGGGCCCCUCUCUUUCAGAGAAGCUCGUCGGGGUAACCCAAGAGGACCCGGAGACGCCGUCGGGAGAUCGGGGAAGCGUUUUCUUUUCUGCAUGAGCGUUCGAGUUCCCUGGAAUCCUCUAGCAGGGAGAUAGGGUUUGGAACGCGAAGAGCACCGCAGU
rnacentral:rRNA from 1 species